AUUGAACGCUGGCGGCAGGCCUAACACAUGCAAGUCGAACGAGUGGCGGACGGGUGAGUAAUGUCUGGGAAACUGCCUGAUGGAGGGGGAUAACUACUGGAAACGGUAGCUAAUACCGCAUACCAUCGGAUGUGCCCAGAUGGGAUUAGCUAGUAGGUGGGGUAAAGGCUCACCUAGGCGACGAUCCCUAGCUGGUCUGAGAGGAUGACCAGGCACCCUGGAACGGAGCAACGGCCCAGACUCCUACGGGAGGCAGCAGUGGGGAAUAUUGCACAAUGGGCGCAAGCCUGAUGCAGCCAUGCCGCGUGGAUGAAGAAGGCCUUCGGGUUGUGAAGUACUUUCAGCGGGGAGGCGUUACCAGCAGAAGAAGCACCGGCUAACUCCGUGCCAGCAGCCGCGGUAAUUC
rnacentral:rRNA from 1 species